GUGCUAGCUUCAGAAGUACUUAUACUAAAAUUGGUACAAUACAGAGAUUAGCAUGGCCCCUGCAAUAAGGAUGACAUGCAAAUUCAUGAAGCAUAAAAUUUGUCU